rnacentral:rRNA from 1 species
GAUGAACGCUGGCGGCGUGCUUAACACAUGCAAGUCGAACGGAAAGGCCCAAGCUUGCUUGGGUACUCGAGUGGCGAACGGGUGAGUAACACGUGGGUGAUCUGCCCUGCACUUCGGGAUAAGCCUGGGAAACUGGGUCUAAUACCGGAUAGGACCACUUCUUGGAUGUUGUGGUGGAGAGUUUUCUCGGUGUGGGAUGAGCUCGCGGCCUAUCAGCUUGUUGGUGGGGUAAUGGCCUACCCAGGCGUCGACGGGUAGCCGGCCUGGGAGGGUGUACGGCCACAUUGGGACUGAGAUACGGCCCAGACUCCUACGGGGGGCAGCAGUGGGGAAUAUUGCACAAUGGGCGCAAGCCUGAUGCAGCGACGCCGCGUGGGGGAUGACGGCCUUCGGGUUGUAAACUCCUUUCGCUAGGGACGAAGCGUUUUUGUGACGGUACCUGGAGAAGAAGCACCGGCUAACUACGU